UACGGAGGGUGCGAGCGUUGUCCGGAAUCAUUGGGCGUAAAGGGCGCGUAGGUGGCCCGGUCAGUUCGUGGUGAAAGCGCGGGGCUCAACCCUGCGUCGGCCAUGAAUACUGCCGCGGCUGGAGCACUGUAGAGGCAGGCGGAAUUCCGGGUGUAGCGGUGGAAUGCGUAGAGAUCCGGAGGAACCCCUGAGGCGAAGGCGGCGUCCUGGCGCACUUCGUGACGUUCAGACACGACAGCAUGGGGAGCGAACGGG
rnacentral:rRNA from 1 species